rnacentral:rRNA from 1 species
AUUGAACGCUGGCGGCAGGCCUAACACAUGCAAGUCGAGCGAGCGGCGGACGGGUGAGUAAUGUCUGGGAAACUGCCUGAUGGAGGGGGAUAACUACUGGAAACGGUAGCUAAUACCGCAUACCAUCAGAUGUGCCCAGAUGGGAUUAGCUAGUUGGUGGGGUAACGGCUCACCUAGGCGACGAUCCCUAGCUGGUCUGAUAGGAUGGCCAGCCACACUGGAACUGAGGCACGGUCCGUACUCCGAGGGGAGGCAGCAGUGGGGAAUAUGGCACAGUGGGCGCAAGCCGGAUGCAGCCAUACCGCGUGUGUGAAGAAGGCCUUCGGGUUGUAAAGCACUUUCAGCGGGGAGGCGUUACCCGCAGAAGAAGCACCGGCUAACUCCGUGCCAGCAGCCGCGGUAAUUG